rnacentral:misc_RNA from 1 species
UCUCCGUUGGUGAACCAGCGGAGGGAUCAUUACCGAGUUUACAACUCCCAAACCCCUGUGAACAUACCUCUAUGUUGCCUCGGCGGAUCAGCCCGCACCCCGUAAAACGGGGCGGCCCGCCGCAGGAACCACAAACUCUGUUUUUAGUGGAACUUCUGAGUAAAACAAACAAAUAAAUCAAAACUUUCAACAACGGAUCUCUUGGUUCUGGCAUCGAUGAAGAACGCAGC